GAUGAACGCUAGCGGCAGGCUUAACACAUGCAAGUCGAGGGGCAGCAUGGAGAGUAGCAAUACUCUCUGAUGGCGACCGGCGCAAGGGUGCGUAACGCGUGAGCAACUUGCCCUCAUCAGGGGAAUAAUCGCUGGAAACGGCGUCUAAUGCCCCAUGGUGAUGGAAUCAGGCAUCUGAUUUCAUCUAAAGAUCCGUCGGAUGAGGAUAGGCUCGCGUGACAUUAGCUAGACGGCGGGGUAACGGCCCACCGUGGCGACGAUGCGUAGGGGUUCUGAGAGGAAGGUCCCCCACACUGGUACUGAGACACGGACCAG
rnacentral:rRNA from 1 species